AAAGUCACAACCAGUCAUUUCAAAUAAAGUCAUUUUGCAAAUGUAAUAUUUCAGAAACCAUAAAGGAUUUGCAUACAUUGACAAUAGUGUUAAUAUUAAAAUCAAAAUAAAAAUUGUGAGAAUGCAAUUGAUGAACAGAUGCAGUAAAAUAUCAAAAGAUAUCAGAAAACCAAGAAAAUGAUGAUGAUGACACAUCUUCACCUGAGCAAGUGAAAUUUAUUGCAGGAUUACAGUUCUAUUUCAUGCAGGAAGAUAAUGAAUAUAUUUAUACUGAUUUUGUUCAGUUGUGAAAACCACUCUGAAGCUACCUGUAUGGACACUUUUGUCCUCUUAAAAAAAUAAACAGAAGAUAAAAUGAAAAAUAAGAGCAACACAUCAUUUUUCAGCAAUAGUGUAAUUAGACUGAUAUAUAGGAAACUAUGUAAUGAGAGGCUUAUGAUGUUUAUAGAGAGAUGACAAAGUUGGAGAAUCAGCUCUUGAGAUCAGCACAUCAAGUGUUCAAUGGAGAUACUAACAUUUGAAAAUGUGGGAGAAAAGAAAAGCAGUGUACCUUCCUAUCAGCAGUUCUAGUGAAGAUAAAGGAGCAAAGAUAGCAUUUGUCUUAACAACAUUAUGUUUAAGAAGAAAAAUAUUAACAAAAUUUAAGAAAAAAUAUGAACAAAAGAAAGAAGGUAGAAGAAUAAAUAUCAUUCUUUCCCAGAUAUGUCCACACAACUCAGGAUUGAAUAGCUCUCACUCCUGUUUAAGAAU
rnacentral:lncRNA from 1 species